GCCUACUCUCCAUGCCCUGCCCACCCACCAGAGUUUUCAUAGUGUGGUUGGGCUGCAUCCAUUAAGGCUGGUACUCAGGUAGGGGUGGGGCUCACCAGCCUGGUUAUUGCUGAGGAUGCUUGCAGCCCUGGUGGAAGCACCCUGGCCAGUAUUUGAAAUGUAAAUUCAAUAUCUAAAAUGGAAAUACCGGGUGCCAGGCAUCCUGGAAUUUGCCUUUUCAAGGCCACCUGUCCUAUCAUCCCCUCCAUCCCUCCAGGCUGCCAUGAUCCUCCCUCUGAACCCCAUGGUCAGUGUCGCUGCAGAGAUCCUCCCUUUGGACCCUGCCUGCCUGAAGGGCCCAUACCUUGAUCAGACGUCUUAGAACGACUGCCCUUAGCCAUGUCAUAAAAAGGAGAAAACAUCAUAUUUGACAACCCCAAUUCCUGCAUUAUACAGACAGGAAACUCAGGUGCACUUCACCACACGCUUCUCAGUUGCGUGGAUGCACAUCUCCACUUCUUUGCAGGGAGGACGAACAACAGCAGAAUACCCGUGGCCUGACUUUCUGGAGCAUCAGUAUUACUACAAGAUUUGGAAAAACCAAAGUUAGGUCAUUUCCAAGAGCCUACCCAUAGACAAAGCCAAGAUUUAAUCUGCAAGAGUCUGCCAGGCACUCUGUGGUCCAUGGGAAUCCCUCAAGUUGGCAGCCUGUUCCCUUGUGUCCUGUGCUGGUGUUCAAUCUUCCAUCUCUUCAGGGUACCACUAGACAGAGGCCUAUCAGAUCCUCAAGGGACUUGACA